rnacentral:rRNA from 1 species
CGUUUGACCUCGGAUCAGGUAGGGAUACCCGCUGAACUUAAGCAUAUCAAUAAGCGGAGGAAAAGAAACCAACAGGGAUUGCCCUAGUAACGGCGAGUGAAGCGGCAACAGCUCAAAUUUGAAAUCUGGCUCUUUUAGAGUCCGAGUUGUAAUUUGCAGAGGGCGCUUUGGCUUUGGCAGCGGUCCAAGUUCCUUGGAACAGGACGUCACAGAGGGUGAGAAUCCCGUACGUGGUCGCUAGCUAUUGCCGUGUAAAGCCCCUUCGACGAGUCGAGUUGUUUGGGAAUGCAGCUCUAAAUGGGAGGUAAAUUUCUUCUAAAGCUAAAUAUUGGCCAGAGACCGAUAGCGCACAAGUAGAGUGAUCGAAAGAUGAAAAGCACUUUGGAAAGAGAGUCAAACAGCACGUGAAAUUGUUGAAAGGGAAGCGCUUGCAGCCAGACUUGCUUGCAGUUGCUCAUCCGGGCUUUUGCCCGGUGCACUCUUCUGCAGGCAGGCCAGCAUCAGCUUGGGCGGUGGGAUAAAGGUCUCUGACACGUUCCUUCCUUCGGGUUGGCCAUAUAGGGGAGACGUCAUACCACCAGCCUGGACUGAGGUCCGCGCAUCUGCUAGGAUGCUGGCGUAAUGGCUGUAAGCGGCCCGUCUUGAAACACGGACCAAGGAGUCUAACAUCUAUGCGAGUGUUUGGGUGUCAAGCCCGAGCGCGUAAUGAAAGUGAACGGAGGUGGGAACCCGCAAGGGUGCACCAUCGACCGAUCCUGAAGUUUACGGAAGGAUUUGAGUAAGAGCAUGGCUGUUGGGACCCGAAAGAUGGUGAACUAUGCUUGAAUAGGGUGAAGCCAGAGGAAACUCUGGUGGAGGCUCGCAGCGGUUCUGACGUGCAAAUCGAUCGUCAAAUUUGGGCAUAGGGGGCGAAAAGACUAAUCCGAACUAUCUAGUAGCUGGUUCCUGCCGAAUUUUCCCUCAGGAUAGCAGUAACGUAUUCAGUUUUAUGAGGUAAAGCGAAUGAAUUAGAGGCAUGGGGGGU